rnacentral:rRNA from 1 species
ACUCCUGCGGGAGGCAGCAGUGGGGAAUAUUGGACACUGGGCGCAAGCCUGAUCCAGCCAUGCCGCGUGAGUGAUGAAGGCCCUAGGGUUGUAAAGCUCUUUCACCGGUGAAGAUAAUGACGGUAACCGGAGAAGAAGCCCCGGCUAACUUCGUGCCAGCAGCCGCGGUAAUACGAAGGGGGCUAGCGUUGUUCGGAUUUACUGGGCGUAAAGCGCACGUAGGCGGACUAUUAAGUCAGGGGUGAAAUCCCGGGGCUCAACCCCGGAACUGCCUUUGAUACUGGUAGUCUUGAGUUCGAGAGAGGUGAGUGGAAUUCCGAGUGUAGAGGUGAAAUUCGUAGAUAUUCGGAGGAACACCAGUGGCGAAGGCGGCUCACUGGCUCGAUACUGACGCUGAGGUGCGAAAGCGUGGGGAGCAAACAGGAUUAGAUACCCCUGUAGUCCCA